rnacentral:rRNA from 1 species
UCCGUAGGCGGGCGAUUAAGUCAGAGGUGAAAUCCCACAGCUUAACUGUGGAACUGCCUUUGAUACUGGUUGUCUUGAGUUAUAGUGAAGUAGAUAGAAUAUGUAGUGUAGCGGUGAAAUGCAUAGAUAUUACAUAGAAUACCGAUUGCGAAGGCAGUCUACUAACUGUAUACUGACGCUAAUGGACGAAAGCGUGGGGAGCGAACA